rnacentral:rRNA from 1 species
GACGAACGCUGGCGGCGUGCCUAACACAUGCAAGUCGAACGGACGAUGAGGAGCUUGCUCCUCAGAGUUAGUGGCGGACGGGUGAGUAACGCGUGAGUAACCUGCCUUACAGAGGGGGAUAGCGUUUGGAAACGAACGAUAAUACCGCAUGACAUUACGGGAUCGCAUGGUUCUGUAAUCAAAGGAGAAAUCCGCUGUAAGAUGGACUCGCGUCUGAUUAGAUAGUUGGUGAGGUAACGGCUCACCAAGUCGACGAUCAGUAGCCGGACUGAGAGGUUGAACGGCCACAUUGGGACUGAGACACGGCCCAGACUCCUACGGGAGGCAGCAGUGAGGGAUAUUGCACAAUGGGCGCAAGCCUGAUGCAGCAACGCCGCGUGAGGGAUGACGGUUUUCGGAUUGUAAACCUCUGUCCUUAGUGACGAAUGGCGUAGCGGUCAAUACCCGUUACGAGUGACGGUACCGUAAGAGAAAGCCACGGCUAACUACGUG